rnacentral:misc_RNA from 1 species
AGUCGUAACAAGGUAACCGUAGGUGAACCUGCGGUUGGAUCAUUAUCUAAAUUUUUGUUGAACAUUGAUAUCUUGUUUUGAAAGAAAUGGGAUUGAUUUGUUGAAUGAAUUUCAUUACUCUUUUGCUUAGGUUGUUCUUUGGGAUGAUUGAGCAAAAGAGACAACACAUUGUGAAUAGUACCCAAUUGACUUGACUUGAUUUAUCCCUUGUGAUGAUCAAGUCUUGCCUUUUAAAACACCAUUUAUUAUAAAAAAGUGAGACAAUUUAUCUUUAAGAAUAAAAAACAACUUUUGACAACGGAUCUCUUGGCUCUC